rnacentral:tRNA from 1 species
CGGGUCAUGGCUGAGUGGUUAUAGCGCUUUCGUUGGGUGAAGGUUUUCCUAUGUUCGAAUCAUAGUGACCCGA